UUGACGAACGCUGGCGGCGUGCCUAAUACAUGCAAGUAGAACUUUGAAGAGAGGAGCUUGCUCUUCUUGGAUGAGUUGCGAACGGGUGAGUAACGCGUAGGUAACCUGCCUUGUAGCGGGGGAUAACUAUUGGAAACGAUAGCUAAUACCGCAUAACAAUGGAUGACACAUGUCAUUUAUUUGAAAGGGGCAAUUGCUCCACUACAAGAUGGACCUGCGUUGUAUUAGCUAGUAGGUGAGGUAAUGGCUCACCUAGGCGACGAUACAUAGCCGACCUGAGAGGGUGAUCGGCCACACUGGGACUGAGACACGGCCCAGACUCCUACGGGAGGCAGCAGUAGGGAAUCUUCGGCAAUGGGAGCAACCCUGACCGAGCAACGCCGCGUGAGUGAAGAAGGUUUUCGGAUCGUAAAGCUCUGUUGUAAGUCAAGAACGGGUGUGAGAGUGGAAAGUUCACACUGUGACGGUAGCUUACCAGAAAGGGACGGCUAACUACGUGCCAGCAGCCGCGGUAAUACGUAGGUCCCGAGCGUUGUCCGGAUUUAUUGGGCGUAAAGCGAGCGCAGGCGGUUUGAUAAGUCUGAAGUUAAAGGCUGUGGCUCAACCAUAGUUCGCUUUGGAAACUGUCAAACUUGAGUGCAGAAGGGGAGAGUGGAAUUCCAUGUGUAGCGGUGAAAUGCGUAGAUAUAUGGAGGAACACCGGUGGCGAAAGCGGCUCUCUGGUCUGUAACUGACGCUGAGGCUCGAAAGCGUGGGGAGCGAACAGGAUUAGAUACCCUGGUAGUCCACGCCGUAAACGAUGAGUGCUAGGUGUUGGAUCCUUUCCGGGAUUCAGUGCCGCAGCUAACGCAUUAAGCACUCCGCCUGGGGAGUACGACCGCAAGGUUGAAACUCAAAGGAAUUGACGGGGGCCCGCACAAGCGGUGGAGCAUGUGGUUUAAUUCGAAGCAACGCGAAGAACCUUACCAGGUCUUGACAUCCCGAUGCUAUUUCUAGAGAUAGAAAGUUACUUCGGUACAUCGGUGACAGGUGGUGCAUGGUUGUCGUCAGCUCGUGUCGUGAGAUGUUGGGUUAAGUCCCGCAACGAGCGCAACCCCUAUUGUUAGUUGCCAUCAUUCAGUUGGGCACUCUAGCGAGACUGCCGGUAAUAAACCGGAGGAAGGUGGGGAUGACGUCAAAUCAUCAUGCCCCUUAUGACCUGGGCUACACACGUGCUACAAUGGUUGGUACAACGAGUUGCGAGUCGGUGACGGCGAGCUAAUCUCUUAAAGCCAAUCUCAGUUCGGAUUGUAGGCUGCAACUCGCCUACAUGAAGUCGGAAUCGCUAGUAAUCGCGGAUCAGCACGCCGCGGUGAAUACGUUCCCGGGCCUUGUACACACCGCCCGUCACACCACGAGAGUUUGUAACACCCGAAGUCGAUGAGGUAACCUUUUGGAGCCAGCCGCCUAAGGUGGG
rnacentral:rRNA from 1 species